UUAGAGUUUGAUCCUGGCUCAGGGAUGAACGCUAGCGGCAGGCCUAAUACAUGCAAGUCGAACGGUGUCUUCGGACAUAGUGGCGCACGGGUGCGUAACACGUAUGCAACCUACCUUACAUUGGGGGAUAGCCUUUCGAAAGGGAGAUUAAUACCGCAUAAGACAGUAGUCUGGCAUCAGACAGCUGUUAAAGAUUUAUCGAUGUAAGCUGGGCAUGCGUCCAAUUAGUUAGUUGGCGAGGUAACGGCUCACCAAGACUAUGAUUGGUAGGGGAACUGAGAGGUCAAUCCCCCACACUGGCACUGAGAUACGGGCCAGACUCCUACGGGAGGCAGCAGUAGGGAAUAUUGGGCAAUGGACGCAAGUCUGACCCAGCCAUGCCGCGUGCAGGAAGAAGGCGUUAUGCGUUGUAAACUGCUUUUAUACAGGAAGAAACGACUCUUGCGAGAGGCAUUGACGGUACUGUAUGAAUAAGCACCGGCUAACUCCGUGCCAGCAGCCGCGGUAAUACGGAGGGUGCAAGCGUUGUCCGGAUUUAUUGGGUUUAAAGGGUGCGCAGGUGGUUUAUUAAGUCAGUGGUGAAAGACGGUCGCUCAACGAUUGCAGUGCCAUUGAAACUGGUAGACUUGAGUAAAGUAGAGGUGGGCGGAAUUGAUAGUGUAGCGGUGAAAUGCAUAGAUAUUAUCAAGAACUCCAAUUGCGUAGGCAGCUCACUUGGCUUUUACUGACACUCAUGCACGAAAGUGUGGGUAUCAAACAGGAUUAGAUACCCUGGUAGUCCACACUGUAAACGAUGAUAACUAGGUGUCGGCCGAAUCUGGUCGGUGCCACAGCGAAAGCGUUAAG
rnacentral:rRNA from 1 species